UCCUUUCUUAUCGCGGCAAAGGCAAUGACGCUAAGGAGUGAAUGAAAAGGCGACGAUGAGCGAAGGAGCAACGGCGAGGAUGGCAACGGUGAUUGUUGAUGGUUCGACUUUUCCUCCCUGACUCGUCUCCCUCUCUCCUUCGAUUUCUGGUUCGUUUCUGGUUUUUGGUUUUGGACACAUCUAGCUUUUUUUUGCCCUCAAUUUCGUUUUCUGCUUCUUGAAACAGGGUCACUUGAUUAUUAUGGGUUUGAUUUUUUUUUUUUAAAAUUUAAAUCUUUGUUCUAGGUUUUGACUUGAGACGUGGUUCUACCAUAAAGUUUCAAAAUUUCUGGCGGGGGAGGGUGUAGUGCGAGGGAUAUUAAGGGCGUUGCUGGUGGUGGAGAGGAGUGCUCCUCUGUUCCGAUACGGGCCAACGAGCGAUGAGUUCAAUAGCUCCAAGAGUCCUUCUUCUUUGGUAACAAUGCGUUCGCCUCACUGUUUGGAUCGAAUACUCACUAUAUCAAUCGCAGCCAGAGGCGUGUGAAUCAAGCGGUACAAUUCGGAGGCAUGGUGUUCAAGCAAUUUGGAGAAGAUUGAAAGACAAGAGCAAGAAAUAGCAGAAGUCACGAGAAAAUUAAUGACUACUAAUAAUGGGAUUUUGAUGCGGGAAGUUUUUAAUAAUUGAAAAGGGAUAGAGACUAGUUAAUAAGUUUUUUGUUGAGUUGGUAUAGUUUGCUGUGUUGCUGCUGUAUGCCAGAAUUUGCAACCAGAAGUUCGAAAAAUAUAUGUAGCCUCUGUACUCGUUGCUUUCUGGGUACCUUGUUCUCAAAUAGAUUGAAACUUCAUAGGAUGUUUAUCUGGCCAUGUUUAAUUCUUUAUCAUAUGAAAUAUUUUAAUCUGUAAUAUUUUAGUUUCAAGUUAAAUUAACAUGAUAAAAAUGUUAUUGUUAUUUGCUAGUAGAUUCUUAA